rnacentral:rRNA from 1 species
UACGUAGGGUGCAAGCGUUGUCCGGAAUUAUUGGGCGUAAAGAGCUCGUAGGCGGUCUGUCACGUCUGCUGUGAAAACCUGGGGCUUAACCCCGGGCCUGCAGUGGGUACGGGCAGACUAGAGUGCGGUAGGGGAGACUGGAAUUCCUGGUGUAGCGGUGAAAUGCGCAGAUAUCAGGAGGAACACCGGUGGCGAAGGCGGGUCUCUGGGCCGUAACUGACGCUGAGGAGCGAAAGCAUGGGGAGCGAACAGG